GAUGAAUGCUGGCGGCGUGCCUAACACAUGCAAGUCGAGCGGCAGCGAGGGGUGCUUGCACCCUGUCGGCGAGCGGCGAACGGCUGAGUAACGCGUAGGAAUUUGCCCCAAAGUGAGGAAUAACUGCCCGAAAGGGUAGCUAAUGCCGCAUAUGGUCUUCGGAUUAAAGGAUUUAUCCGCUUUGGGAGAAGCCUGCGUUGGAUUCGGUUGUUGGUAGGGUAAUGGCCUACCAAGCCGACGAUCCAUAGCUGGUCUGAGAGGAUGAUCAGCCAGACUGGAACUGAGACACGGUCCAGACUCCUACGGGAGGCAGCAGUGAGGAAUCUUCCACAAUGGGCGAAAGCCUGAUGGAGCAACGCCGCGUGAAGGAUGAAGGCCUUCGGGUUGUAAACUUCUUUUAUGAGUGAAGAAUAUGACGGUAACUAAUGAAUAAGCACCGGCUAACUACGUG
rnacentral:rRNA from 1 species